GAGUUUGAUCCUGGCUCAGGACGAACGCUAGCGGCGUGCCUAAGGUAUGCAAGUCGAGCGGACCCGGCUUCGGCCGGGUGAGCGGCAAACGGUUGAGUAACACGUAGACAACCUGCCCGGAAGACGGGGAUAACUCGGGGAAACUCGGGCUAAUACCGGAUGUGGCAGCGGAAGGCAUCUUCUGCUUGCUAAAGGAGCGAUCCGCUUCCGGAUGGGUCUGCGGCCUAUCAGCUAGCUGGUGGGGUAACGGCCUACCAGGGCGACGACGGGUCGCUGGUCUGAGAGGAUGACCAGCCAGACGGGGACUGAGACACGGCCCCGACUCCUUCGGGAGGCAGCAAUGAGGGAUAUUGCGCAAUGGGGGAAACCCUGACGCAGCGACGCCGCGUGGGUGAGGAAGUCCUUCGGGAUGUAAAGCCCUUUUCUGGGGGACGAAUGCCGGGCAACCGGCUUGACGGUACCCCAGGAAGAAGCCCCGGCUAACUACGUGCCAGCAGCCGCGGUAAUACGUAGGGGGCAAGCGUUGUCCGGAUUUACUGGGCGUAAAGCGCGUGUAGGUGGGAGGCGUCAGUCUGGUGGGAAAGCCCACGGCUCAACCCGUGGAAGUUCGCUGGAAACUGCGCUUCUUGAGGGUGAUAGGGGGAAGUGGAAUUGCUGGUGUAGCGGUGAAAUGCGUAGAUAUCAGCAGGAACACCCGUGGCGAAAGCGGCUUCCUGGAUCACCCCUGACGCUGAGACGCGAAAGCGUGGGGAGCGAACGGGAUUAGAUACCCCGGGUAGUCCACGCCGUAAACGAUGGUCACUAGGUGGUAUGGGGUAUCGACCCCCCAUGUGCCGCAGCUAACGCCAUAAGUGACCCGGCUGGGGAGUACGGCCGCAAGGUUGAAACUCAAAGGAAUUGACGGGGGCCCGCACAAGCGGUGGAGCAUGGUGGAUUAAUACGUCACUAACCCGUAGAACCUUACCCAGGCUUGACAUCUGCGGAACCUCUCUGAAAGGAGAGGGUGCCUCGCAAGAGGAGCCGCAAGACAGGUGUUGCAUGGCUGUCGUCAGCUCGUGUCGUGAGAUGUUGGGUUAAGUCCCGCAACGAGCGCAACCCCUGCCCCGUGUUGCCAGCGUCAAGUCGGGCACUCUCGGGGGACCGCUGCGUAAGUUAGAGGAAGGUGGGGACGACGUCAAGUCAGCAUGGCCCUUACGCCUGGGGCUUCACACAUGCUACAAUGGCCGGUACAAAGGGUACCUACCUCGUGAGAGUGCGGCAAUCCCAAAAAGCCGGUCCCAGUUCGGAUCGCAGGCUGCAACACGCCUGCGUGAAGUCGGAAUCGCUAGUAACCGCCGGUCAGCCAUACGGCGGUGAAUACGUUCCCGGGCCUUGUACACACCGCCCGUCACGUCACCUGAGUCUGCUGCACCCGAAGCCGCUGGCCCAACCCGCAAGGGGGGGAGGCGUCGAAGGUGUGGCCGGUAAGGGGGACGAAGUCGUAACAAGGUAGCCGU
rnacentral:rRNA from 1 species